ACUCCUCUCAGAGCUCUGAGAAUGUGGGCUGAUCCUCUGCUUGGGUGCUGGCUUAGCACUCCUGACCUGUUCACUGCAGCCCUGGAGCACCAAGACUGGCUUGCAGUUCCACCAUCUAGACUCUCACGGUUAGGUUCCAGUCUUAUUAGGACGUGGAGCAUUUGAGAGGUAAUCAUGUUUAGAUCACGUCAUGAGAGUGGAUACCUCAUGAUAGAAUCAGUUCCCUUAUACGAACAGACAACAAGGCACUUGC
rnacentral:lncRNA from 1 species